rnacentral:rRNA from 1 species
GACGUAGGGUGCAAGCGUUGUCCGGAUUUAUUGGGCGUAAAGAGCUCGUAGGCGGCUUGUCGCGUCGGCUGUGAAAACCUGGGGCUUAACUCCGGGCCUGCAGCCGAUACGGGCAGACUAGAGUUCGGCAGGGGAGACUGGAAUUCCUGGUGUAGCGGUGAAAUGCGCAGAUAUCAGGAGGAACACCUGUGGCGAAAGCGGCUCACUGGACCACAACUGACGCUGAUGCACGAAAGCUAGGGGAGCAAACAGG